GAUGAAGAACGUAGCGAAAUGCGAUACGUAAUGUGAAUUGCAGAAUUCAGUGAAUCAUUGAAUCUUUGAACGCACAUUGCGCCCGCCAGUAUUCUGGCGGGCAUGCCUGUCUGAGCGUCAUUUCAACCCUCAAGCAACUUCUGCUUGGUGUUGGGGAUCGGCCGUCAAACGCCGCCCCCGAAAUCUAUUGGCGAUCUCGCUGUAGCUUCCUAUGCGUAGUAGUAACAUCUCGCAUCUGGAGAGCGGCGCGGUCAUGCCGUAAAACACCCAACUUCUCAGGUUGACCUCAGAUCAGGUAGGAAUACCCGCUGAACUUAAGCAUAUCAUAAGCGGAGGA
rnacentral:misc_RNA from 1 species